GUAAGGAGGUCAACGGUCCCGAAACCAGGUUCCUCCCUCAUAACCUGGAGGUCGUUGGUUCGAAUCCAACCCCCG
rnacentral:tRNA from 1 species